rnacentral:lncRNA from 1 species
CUUCAAACUAUGAACUGUCGGAAACACAUUUCUCUGAUCACGUUGAAUUUGGGGCAUGUCUAACUGAUCUUAAGCUAGAAAAGAUGAGUACACACCUUUCCACUCGGAAGUGCCAGAUGCUUGUGGAGCCCGUCACAGGGAUGUGCGCUACAGUGGGCGCCUUCUGGAGAGGAAACAGCAGGUGAAUCUGCUUGGCACCAGGAUAUCAAUUAUGUGUGUUAAAAUUCAAGCACGGUCAGUCAGAUGGCUCUUGGGCUCUGGAAUGCAGCUUGCAGUCGAUCAUCGCUGUACAGAAGCUGUCACACGCGUCCCAGUCUGCUGUCGAUGCGUCAGUCCUAGGAACGAAUCUGUACUUUUAUGGCUCGAUUCCUAAGAUUGGUCCCUGGCCCAGUGGUCCAAGAUAGCUUCCAAAACCAAAGUGCCUUGUGCUGCUCCCCAUCCCUGCCACCAGCACGGACGCGCAGCACUCAGCAGCCAGGCCGGCCUCCAUGCCCUCACUCAGAAGCCACAGAAGGAGGCGGAAGUCGGCUCAGCUCCCCUGGUACAAUUUUCCUUUGCUUUUACUUCCUGCUGUGAGCUUUCUUACAUGUUUGGAGUUGGCGAGUGCGUGCUGCUGCGUGGGGACGGGUCUGAGGGAAGCCGAGAGGAGGCAGGCAAUCCAGGGAGUGGAGUCGCGCUCAGCUCUGGGCCCCUGUGGCGAGCUUGCUGGCUGGUGCUGUAGCCUAGCCAAAGGAAACAGGCAGCGCGCCCAGGGGUGCCCUCACUACCAGGGGAUGGCAGGGCCCAGGUCACUUGGGAGGCAUUGCCUCCGCUUUUCUACUCUGUGAGCAGGUUUCCAAAGUUAACGUGCCAUCAGAGUUGGAAGCCUUGGACCGAGAGGUCCGCCCACUGCCUCUGCCCACACCACCCCCAGACCCCAUCUCAGCGUGGGGACAGUCGGCCCAGCGCAUCCGCCCCAGACGUCCUCCUGGGCUGUGAUAGGAGGGCUCAGUGCAGAAGGGUGGGCACCAGGCACUCGGCAGGUGCUCAGCAAUGUGGAAUGAGUGAAUCUGGGUGGCAGUGGAGGAGGUGGGAGACUCCAGCCCCACUUCCCUCUGGAGUUCUGUGGCCAAAACUCAGGUGCUUCAGAAGCCAUUUACUAGUGUCGCCCGGAAAGGCUGAAAUGGCCUUGCUGCCUUUCUUCACAAUCUUUCCAAUCUGGAAGGGGCAGAGACCCUGCCAGGGCUCUGGCAGCAGGCCAGGGUGGCCUCCUGUGCCCUCUAAGCCCUGGCCAGCACCUGCCCGUUGCU